ACAGAGGUCCCAAGCGUUGUUCGGAUUCACUGGGCGUAAAGGGUGCGUAGGUGGUGAGGUAAGUCGGAUGUGAAAUCUCCGAGCUCAACUCGGAAAUGGCAUUGGAAACUACCUUGCUCGAGGGUUGGAGGGGGGACUGGAAUGCUUGGUGUAGCAGUGAAAUGCGUAGAUAUCAAGCGGAACACCAGUGGCGAAGGCGAGUCCCUGGACAACUCCUGACACUGAGGCACGAAAGCUAGGGGAGCAAACAGG
rnacentral:rRNA from 1 species